UUAUUAAUUUUUUUAUAAUUUAUAUUUUUUUAAUUAUUUUAUAAUAAAUAUAUAUAUAUUUAGUAUAUUUUAUAGAAAUAAGUUUAUUAAUUAUAAUAUUAACUGUAAAGGUUUUAAUUUAUUUAUUUAAAAGUAAUUAUUUGUUGGUGUACCUUUUGUAUCAGGGUUUAUUAAUUUAAAUUUAUUUAAAUAAAUUUCCCGAAAGUUAAGGAUAUAUAUUUUUAUGGUUAUUUAAGUUUUAAAUUAAAAAUUAAUUUUAAUAUAGAUGUUAUAUGCUUUUCAACUUUUUUAUAUCUGGUUUUUUCUUAAUUAAAUUUAAUUUAUUAUAUAAUUGAUUUAUAAAUUUUUAUUUUUUAAUUAGUUAUAAUUAAUUAUAAAAGGGAUAAGCUUUUUAUUAAAAUUUAUAACUUAUUUUAGAUAUAAUAAUUUUUUUAGAAUUAAAAUUGUUCAUUUUAGUUUUUUAUAAAAAUGAUUAUUUUUUUUGUUUAAUUUUUUUUAGUUUAAAAUUUUAGGAAAAUUUUUUAUUUAAUUUAUUAAUAUAAUUGAUAAUGAUAAAAUUAGUAUUAAUUAUAAUAUUGGUUUAAGAAUUCAGCAAAUUUUAUUUUCGACUGUUUAAUAAAAACAUUUCUUUAUAGUAAAAUUAUAAAGUAUAACCUGCUCAAUGAAUUUUUAAAUAGCCGCGAUUUAAUCGUGCGAAGGUAGCAUAAUAAUUUGUCUUUUAAUUGAAGUCUUGAAUGAAGGGUUGAACGAGAAAUAUACUUUUUUAAUCAAUAUUUUAAAAAUUUAAUUUUCUAGUUAAAAAGCUAGAAUAAAUUUAUGGGACGAUAAGACCCUAUAGAAUUUUAUUUAAAAAUAAAUUUAGUUUUGAUUUAUAUUUAUUAACCAAAUUUAUUUUUAAAUUUGGUUGGGGAGAUUAUUACAAUUAAUUAACUGUAAUUUUAAAAAUUCAUUAAUUUAUGAUUUUUAUGAUCCUAAAUUUUGGAUUAUAAGAAUAAAUUACCUUAGGGAUAACAGCGUCAUUUCUUUGGAAAGUUCAUAUUUAUAAGGGAGUUUGCGACCUCGAUGUUGGAUUAAAAUUAAGUUAUGGUGCAGAAGCUAUAAUAUUAAGUCUGUUCGACUUUUAAAAUUUUACAUGAUCUGAGUUAAGACCGGCGUGAGCCCAGGUGGUUUCUAUCUAUAAAUUUCAUAUAAUAUUUUAGUACGAAAGGACCAAUUAUUAUAAAAAUAUUUAU
rnacentral:rRNA from 1 species